AAAUACAGAACCUCCCGAGGACAUCCAGGCUGCAGAAAGAGGAAAACAAGAUGUGGUAUGUCAUCAACAACAUUCAAGGUCAAUGAAUUGGAGUCUCUGAUUUCUGAGUUUUGAAACAUCAGAGGAGUGAGCUACAGGACUUGGGAAUCCAGGCUGGAUUUGGUAGCCAAUCCAACACCAGUGUCGUAAGAACCUUGAGAAUGACCUUUUGGACCUGGACCAGAGGCACAAGCACUGUGAAGACAAGGAAAAAAGACAUGAUGUGAGUAAGGAAGAAUGGGCCAAUAUUCUUGGAAAGAGACGUGAACAAAAAGAAGUCGUGUGAGCUUUUCCAUUCUCCACCAUCUUUGUUGCCCAUCGUGGCUGAGGGUGUCACAUAGAAGACUGUGGUUCUCUGGGACUGACUGAAAGCACACUCCAGUAGACAAUGAUGACAGUAUGGAGGGUUAGGGUUGGUUUUUUUUUUUAACUUUUUA